UUAAACUCUACUGUGAGGCUGAAUUGCAGCGCUACUGGUGACCCACAACCAAUCAUCAGCUGGAGAAAGCAAGGUGGUCAGCUGCCAGUUGGGCGGAGCCAGCAGAUCAAUGGAGCUUUGGUGAUUACAAACUUACAGCAGAGUGACGCAGGGAGUUACAUUUGCACUGCUACAAGUGCUGUCGUGUUCAAUGUGGAAGCUCUAACCACUCUAGAAAUUCGAGCAGCUCUCACUUCGUCGAGUAUUCUUGCCAGCCUCGA